CUCUGCUAUUCAUUUCCAAUUUCCAGAGCUCUGUAUGAGUUGGCAAAUAUCCAUCAUCCACAAAGGGCCCGGGCUGAUUUUAUCCCCAACAAACUGGUGUUCGAAGUGGGGUGCAAUUGGGAACUCAGAUUACAGGUAAGAGGAUCUUUAGCCCCUUGGGGACACAACUUCUGGAAUUUAAGGGAAUCAUGACGGAGUAUUUCUCUCGUGUGUCCUUAAGGGGUUGGGGACCUUUGCCUGCUUCUGCCAUCCUCCCACACAUUGCAUUUCUUGUUUUAAUGGGGUUUUUCACUAUUUCAAUUUUUAAAGGGGAUUUACACAGGAUAAUGUCUUUGGUAGACAUGGUAUUUUAAGUCUUAGGUAGACUUCUAUUACUCCACGGGUUGGAGUAACACCUUUGGUAGGCAGUAGUAGUUAUGUGCACAUUUCCUCUUUGGUAAGAGGUUCACCUUUGGCCAGGUGUUAAAAAGAAUUUCAAGCCUUUGGUAGGCUGUGAUGUCCUGUGAUGUGCAUUUACAUAUGGGAGACGUCCCUAGAUCCCUCUUUGCUAGAGGUUGCCUUUGGUAGGUUGUAAAACAGAUUUCCAGUCUUUGGUGGACUGUGGUAUUUAUUUAAUGUAGAUGUAAAUUUUGCAGAUUAAAA
rnacentral:lncRNA from 1 species